UGGGGAAUAUUGCACAAUGGGCGAAAGCCUGAUGCAGCAACGCCGCGUGAACGAUGAAGGUCUUCGGAUCGUAAAGUUCUGUUGCAGGGGAAGAUAAUGACGGUACCCUGUGAGGAAGCCCCGGCUAACUACGUGCCAGCAGCCGCGGUAAUACGUAGGGGGCUAGCGUUAUCCGGAUUUACUGGGCGUAAAGGGUGCGUAGGUGGUCUUUCAAGUCGGUGGUCAAAGCCUACGGCUCAACCGUAGUUAGCCUCCGAAACUGGAAGACUUGAGUGCAGGAGAGGAAAGUGGAAUUCCCAGUGUAGCGGUGAAAUGCGUAGAUAUUGGGAGGAACACCGGUAGCGAAGGCGGCUUUCUGGACUGCAACUGACACUGAGGCACGAAAGCGUGGGUAGCAAACAGG
rnacentral:rRNA from 1 species